rnacentral:rRNA from 1 species
GCCCCUACGGGGGGCAGCAGUGGGGAAUAUUGCGCAAUGGGGGAAACCCUGACGCAGCAACGCCGCGUGCGGGAUGAAGGCUUUCGGGUUGUAAACCGCUUUCAGCAGGGAAGAUAAUGACGGUACCUGACUAAGAAGCCCCGGCUAACUACGUGCCAGCAGCCGCGGUAAUACGUAGGGGGCAAGCGUUAUCCGGAUUUACUGGGUGUAAAGGGAGCGUAGACGGCAGAGCAAGUCUGAAGUGAAAGCCCGCGGCCCAACUGCGGGACUGCUUUGGAAACUGCCCGGCU